ensembl:lncRNA
ACCUGCCAGAGUCUAUCUGACAUUGAUCUUAGAUGCUUUGGUCCUUUUUCUUCUGCACUAAACUGGCAAGUCUAUGUGGAUUCAGAACAGAUGCAUCAUUUUCCUGGGGUAGCCAAAUGUCUGUAGAGGCCAAAGACAAAUAUCAGAAACAUGACUCAAGAAGAAACAACAACUAUAAUUUAUGAAAUGGAGAAGAAAUGGCUUAUUUACAAGUGGUUUGAAACUUACAGCUUGCCACAGAAGACAUGGUGACUGCUGCACAGCUUUGGAGACCCUUUGCUUCACCAAAAUCAGCAAGGCUGUAUGUCUUGUACAGGUGGAUGGAAAAGUCUUCAUAACUACCAAAGGUGAUCCAGAAAGCCCAUGUGAAAACUGGCACUAAAUCUUUGCAUCUUGUGAUAUUUUGUUUGGGUUUUUUGUUUGUUUUUGAAUUAUACUAAAUCUGUACUGUUUGGAGCUAUGUAUAAGAACGACUUCAAUAAAUAUAGGAAGUUA